rnacentral:sRNA from 1 species
GUCGAGCGAAAGCGAGACAACGUUGCCGCAGGCAACGGCCCGAAGGGUGAGGAGCAGCGCGACGAGUAAUCCUUCCCCCACCACCA